rnacentral:rRNA from 1 species
AAUGAACGCUGGCGGUAGGCCUAACACAUGCAAGUCGAACGGGAGCACAGGAAGAGCUUGCUCUUACGGGUGGCGCGUGGCGGACGGGGGAGGAAUACAUCGGAAUCUACUUUUUCGUGGGUGCUAACGUAGGGAAACUUACUCUAAUACCGCAUACGACCUACUGGUGAAAGCAGGGGAUCUUCUGGCCUUUCGCUGUGGAAUGAGCCAAUGUCGGAUUAGCUAGUUGGCGGGGUAAGUGCCCACCAAGGCGACGAGCGGUAGCGGGUCUGAGAGGAUGAUUCGCUAGCCUGGAACUGAGAAAGGGCACAGACUCCUACGGGAGGACGCAGUGCGGAAUAUUGGACAAAGGGGGAAAGCCUGAUACAGCCAUACCGCGUGGGGGAAGAAGGCGUUCGGGUUGUAAAGCCAUUUUGUUGGGAAAGAAAAGCAGCAGGUUAAUCCCCCGCGGUUAUGACGGUACCCAAAGAAUAAGCACCGGCUAACUUCGUG